CACAUGCACACAUGCACAUACUGACAGACACACAUACUCACACACACACUGACAGAACCACACACACACACAAACUCACAGACACACACACUCACACACACAUACUCACAUGCACACACACACUGACAGACACACAUACUCACACACACACACUGACAGACACACAUACUCACACACACACUGACAGACACACAUACUCACACACACACUGACAGACAUACUCACAUGCACACACACACACUGACAGACACACAUACUCACACACACACUGACAGACACACAUACUCACACACACACUGACAGACAUACUCACAUGCACACACACACACUGACAGACACACAUACUCACACACACACUGACAGACACACAUACUCACACACACACUGACAGACACACAUACUCACA